rnacentral:rRNA from 1 species
AGAAUGAACGUUGGCGGCGUGGAUUAGGCAUGCAAGUCGUACGGGCCGCAAGGCCAGUGGCGCAAGGGUGAGUAAGGCGACGGUAACCAACCCCAUGAUUGGGUAUAGCCGCGGGAAACUGCGGGUAAUCCCCAGCGACGUCCGUGGGAGGCAUCUCCCGGGGACCAAAGCUCCGGCGUCGUGGGACGGGCUGUCGUGCUAUUAGCUUGUUGGCGGGGUAACGGCCCACCAAGGCGUUGAUGGCUACCGGGCGUGCGAGCGUGGCCCGGCACACUGGGACUGAGACACUGCCCAGACUCCUACGGGAGGCUGCAGUCGAGAAUCUUCGGCAAUGGGCGCAAGCCUGACCGAGCGACGCCGCGUGGAGGACGAAGGCCUUCGGGUUGUAAACUCCUGUCGAGGGGGAAGAAGGGGUAAACCUUGACUGAUCCCUGGAGGAAGCACGGGCUAAGUUCGUGCCAGCAGCCGC